rnacentral:rRNA from 1 species
UACAGGGGGUGCAAACGUUGCUCGGAAUCAUUGGGCGUAAAGCGCACGUAGGCGGUUCGUUAUGUCGGAUGUGAAAGCCCUUGGCUUAACCGAGGAAGUGCAUCCGAAACUGGCGAGCUAGAGUACGAAAGAGGAUCGCGGAAUUCCCGGUGUAGAGGUGAAAUUCGUAGAUAUCGAGAGGAACACCAGUGGCGAAGGCGGACUCACUGGCCCGAUACUGACGCUGAGGCGACGAAAGCGUGGGGAGCAAACAGG